GACAAGGGGCAGGGGCAGAGGCAGAGAGAGAGAGAGGAGCCACCCUGAGAAGGAAGAGACCAGCUGGGCUCUAAGAUAGGGAGACCCUUUCUACAUUGGUGCCUUGACAUGUGACUCUUUUGUCACUUCGUGCUCCAGAAUCACCCCCUGAUGAACUGCUAUCACUUUCAAAUGACCUUGUCUUUUCUCAGGCCCUCCGAACUGAUCAUCUCUUCCUUCUAAUACAAGAGGAUCUUCCCUGGAAGACCACUGCACACCUUCUAGUAACACUGGGACCCUGGAUAAUAUUCUACUUCGAAGAACACCAAUAGACAGAAGCAAGAUGACUAAUUUUUAAUGCUAAAGUAUGCAAAACCUGCCACUUCACUGGCAAGCCAUGAAUUAUUCAUAAAUAUAGACUUGGUUAAUAUCUUUAAAAA
rnacentral:lncRNA from 1 species